UCGAGGGGCAGCAUAUAGAUUGCUUGCAAUUUAUGAUGGCGACCGGCGCACGGGUGAGUAACGCGUAUCCAACCUACCCAUUACUAGGGAAUAACCCAGCGAAAGUUGGCCUAAUGCCCUAUGUAGUCGUUUGAUCGCCUGAGAUUUCGACGAAAGAUUUAUCGGUAUUGGAUGGGGAUGCGUCUGAUUAGCUUGUUGGCGGGGUAAAGGCCCACCAAGGCAACGAUCAGUAGGGGUUCUGAGAGGAAGGUCCCCCACAUUGGAACUGAGACACGGUCCAAACUCCUACGGGAGGCAGCAGUGAGGAAUAUUGGUCAAUGGGCGAGAGCCUGAACCAGCCAAGUAGCAUGCAGGAUGACGGCCCUAUGGGUUGUAAACUGCUUUUAUAUGGGAAUAAAGUGAGGGACGUGUCCCUUAUUGCAUGUACCAUACGAAUAAGGACCGGCUAAUUCCGUGCCAGCAGCCGCGGUAAUACGGAAGGUCCAGGCGUUAUCCGGAUUUAUUGGGUUUAAAGGGAGCGUAGGCUGUUUGUUAAGCGUGUUGUGAAAUGUAGGAGCUCAACUUUUAGAUUGCAGCGCGAACUGGCAGACUUGAGUGCGCACAACGUAGGCGGAAUUCAUGGUGUAGCGGUGAAAUGCUUAGAUAUCAUGAC
rnacentral:rRNA from 1 species